UACGUAGGAGGCAAGCGUUGUCCGGAAUUACUGGGCGUAAAGCGCGUGUAGGUGGUGGGACAAGUCUGCUGUGAAAGCGCCUGGCUUAACCGGGCGAGGUCGGCGGAAACUGUCUCACUUGAGGACGGUAGAGGGGGGUGGAAUUCCCGGUGUAGUGGUGAAAUGCGUAGAGAUCGGGAGGAACACCUGUGGCGAAGGCGGCCCCCUGGCCGGCCCUGACACUGAGACGCGGAAGGC
rnacentral:rRNA from 1 species